UAACUUGGGCCUGAUCCAAACCCCAUUGAUAUCAAUGCCAGUCUUUCCAUUGACUUCAAUAAAUAGGCUUUGGAUCAGGCCCUCAGUCUA
rnacentral:pre_miRNA from 1 species